UACGGAGGGGGCUAGCGUUGUUCGGAAUUACUGGGCGUAAAGCGCACGUAGGCGGCGAUUUAAGUCAGAGGUGAAAGCCCGGGGCUCAACCCCGGAAUAGCCUUUGAGACUGGAUUGCUUGAAUCUUGGAGAGGCGGGUGGAAUUCCGAGUGUAGAGGUGAAAUUCGUAGAUAUUCGGAAGAACACCAGUGGCGAAGGCGGCCCGCUGGACAAGUAUUGACGCUGAGGUGCGAAAGCGUGGGGAGCAAACAGG
rnacentral:rRNA from 1 species